rnacentral:rRNA from 1 species
CUCCAGGAUGAACGCUAGCGGCAGGCCUAAUACAUGCAAGUCGGACGGGAUCCAUCGGAGAGCUUGCUCGAAGAUGGUGAGAGUGGCGCACGGGUGCGUAACGCGUGAGCAACCUACCUCUAUCAGGGGGAUAGCCUCUCGAAAGAGAGAUUAACACCGCAUAACAUCAACAGUUCGCAUGUUCGGUUGAUUAAAUAUUUAUAGGAUAGAGAUGGGCUCGCGUGACAUUAGCUAGUUGGUAGGGUAACGGCCUACCAAGGCGACGAUGUCUAGGGGCUCUGAGAGGAGAAUCCCCCACACUGGUACUGAGACAUGGACCAGACUCCUACGGGAGGCAGCAGUAAGGAAUAUUGGUCAAUGGGCGGAAGCCUGAACCAGCCAUGCCGCGUGCAGGAUGACUGCC